rnacentral:hammerhead_ribozyme from 1 species
AUCCAGCUGAAGUGUCCCAAACAGGACGAGAUUAGCGUCCUGGAU